rnacentral:rRNA from 1 species
AGAGUUUGAUCAUGGCUCAGAUUGAACGCUGGCGGCAGGCCUAACACAUGCAAGUCGAGCGGUAGCACAGAGAGCUUGCUCUCGGGUGACGAGCGGCGGACGGGUGAGUAAUGUCUGGGAAACUGCCUGAUGGAGGGGGAUAACUACUGGAAACGGUGGCUAAUACCGCAUAAUGUCGCAAGACCAAAGUGGGGGACCUUCGGGCCUCAUGCCAUCAGAUGUGCCCAGAUGGGAUUAGCUAGUAGGUGGGGUAACGGCUCACCUAGGCGACGAUCCCUAGCUGGUCUGAGAGGAUGACCAGCCACACUGGAACUGAGACACGGUCCAGACUCCUACGGGAGGCAGCAGUGGGGAAUAUUGCACAAUGGGCGCAAGCCUGAUGCAGCCAUGCCGCGUGUGUGAAGAAGGCCUUCGGGUUGUAAAGCACUUUCAGCGGGGAGGAAGGCGUUAAGGUUAAUAACCUUGGCGAUUGACGUUACCCGCAGAAGAAGCACCGGCUAACUCCGUGCCAGCAGCCGCGGUAAUACGGAGGGUGCAAGCGUUAAUCGGAAUUACUGGGCGUAAAGCGCACGCAGGCGGUCUGUCAAGUCGGAUGUGAAAUCCCCGGGCUCAACCUGGGAACUGCAUUCGAAACUGGCAGGCUAGAGUCUUGUAGAGGGGGGUAGAAUUCCAGGUGUAGCGGUGAAAUGCGUAGAGAUCUGGAGGAAUACCGGUGGCGAAGGCGGCCCCCUGGACAAAGACUGACGCUCAGGUGCGAAAGCGUGGGGAGCAAACAGGAUUAGAUACCCUGGUAGUCCACGCCGUAAACGAUGUCGAUUUGGAGGUUGUGCCCUUGAGGCGUGGCUUCCGGAGCUAACGCGUUAAAUCGACCGCCUGGGGAGUACGGCCGCAAGGUUAAAACUCAAAUGAAUUGACGGGGGCCCGCACAAGCGGUGGAGCAUGUGGUUUAAUUCGAUGCAACGCGAAGAACCUUACCUGGUCUUGACAUCCACAGAACUUUCCAGAGAUGGAUUGGUGCCUUCGGGAACUGUGAGACAGGUGCUGCAUGGCUGUCGUCAGCUCGUGUUGUGAAAUGUUGGGUUAAGUCCCGCAACGAGCGCAACCCUUAUCCUUUGUUGCCAGCGGUUAGGCCGGGAACUCAAAGGAGACUGCCAGUGAUAAACUGGAGGAAGGUGGGGAUGACGUCAAGUCAUCAUGGCCCUUACGACCAGGGCUACACACGUGCUACAAUGGCAUAUACAAAGAGAAGCGACCUCGCGAGAGCAAGCGGACCUCAUAAAGUAUGUCGUAGUCCGGAUUGGAGUCUGCAACUCGACUCCAUGAAGUCGGAAUCGCUAGUAAUCGUAGAUCAGAAUGCUACGGUGAAUACGUUCCCGGGCCUUGUACACACCGCCCGUCACACCAUGGGAGUGGGUUGCAAAAGAAGUAGGUAGCUUAACCUUCGGGAGGGCGCUUACCACUUUGUGAUUCAUGACUGGGGUGAAGUCGUAACAAGGUAACCGUAGGGGAACCUGCGGUUGGAUCACCU